GAGGGCCCGGUUUCCUCUGGC
rnacentral:miRNA from 1 species